rnacentral:misc_RNA from 1 species
GUCCUCCAAAUUACUUUCUUCCGAACCCCCACGAGAGGCUUCUCCAUCAGAUUGACUAGCAGUCCCUGACGUCCCCCCUUCCUCCUUACUCCCAUCAUCCAGCACAACAGAUUUCUCAUCCCCGCCAUCUUCAUCACUGUCCUCAUCAUCCUCACUCUCGCUAUCUUCCACUUUAUUCUUCCCAAGCCAUAUCUUUAACCGCUUUGACGGCUCAGAUGUAGGCAAGAUCUUCCUCUUAUUCCCCUUGCUGUCCUUGGCCCCACCACCUCCUCCAUUCUUACCUCCAGCUCCAGCUCCAGCGCCGCCGCCGCCGCCGCCCUCUUUUGGGUUUCCAUUACCACCUUUCUUCCCGAAAAUAUUACCAACCAUGCCCUUCAUUCCG